rnacentral:snRNA from 1 species
AGAUGUGACGGCUCUUUGGCUGCGACAUCUGUCACACCAUUGCACACACCAGGGUUGAUUCAUCUGAUCUGGCUGGUUAGGUGGGGGUCCCCUUCGUCCUUCAUUUCUUAAUCUGUGCCCCCCCCAAGCUGUUCACUCUGUCCAAGAGAACAGCAGUCCUGGAUAAAGGAGGAUUGUUCUUGGGCCCAGGGUAUGGAUG